rnacentral:rRNA from 1 species
AGUGAACGCUGGCGGUAGGCCUAACACAUGCAAGUCGAACGGCAGCACAGGAGAGCUUGCUCUCUGGGUGGCGAGUGGCGGACGGGUGAGGAAUACAUCGGAAUCUACUCUGUCGUGGGGGAUAACGUAGGGAAACUUACGCUAAUACCGCAUACGACCUACGGGUGAAAGCAGGGGAUCUUCGGACCUUGCGCGAUUGAAUGAGCCGAUGUCGGAUUAGCAGUUGGCGGGUAAAGGCCCACCAAGGCGACGAUCCGUAGCUGGUCUGAGAGGAUGAUCAGCCACACUGGAACUGAGACACGGUCCAGACUCCUACGGGAGGCAGCAGUGGGAAUAUUGGACAAUGGGCGCAAGCCUGAUCCAGCCAUACCGCGUGGGUGAAG